UGAAACCAAUCCUGGAUAAGUUGCAGCACAAUCAAUCACAGAUUCACUGAUUCACCAUGGCAUCUCGUGCAGCUUACUACUCUCCGUUGGAGCAGCAGAUAAUUAUGGACGCAUAUGAAGAGGUGAAAGACAGAAUUAAAAAACAAGGAAACACCGCCACUGCCCUAAAACAACGAGAGAAAGCGUGGCUUAUCAUUGCAGAUCGCCUGAAUGCAUUAAACAUGACUGGGCCCAAAUGAACUUGGCAGCAAGUCAAGAUAAAGCACAAUAACAUCCUGCAGAACGAUGGUCUACAAUGCUGACUACCUGAUCAGCAAAGCCAGGCCACUUUGCCUGAUGGCGCACGCUGCUGGGGGACAGAGGGUAUGCCUGUGAGCCUUUUUGCCUCACAUCUUACGCAGACCCUCAGGGAGCACAGCAGGCAUAUAACAAUGCCCAUGCCAGGACAAGGGCUCGGAUCGAGAUGACCUUUGGCCUCCUGAAGGCACGCUUCCAAUGUCUGCACCAUCUGAGGGUCGGUUCAGACAGAGCAUGCGAUAUUACUGUGGCUUGUGCUGUCCUCCAUAAUGUGGCCUGUCUGAGGAAGGAGAGGGCCCCCAGAGUGCCCUCAGAUGGCGACAGUGGUCGGCUGAUCAGAGACCAAUAUGUUUUAAAUUAUUUCAGUUAAAGUGCAUUCUGUACAUUUAAGUUGAAUAUGUCCUGCAAUAGCAGAUAACUAUUCAUUUGGCCUAUUGUGCUGCGUACUGUGUGUACAGGCCUAACAUUUGUUAAGUAUGGAUUUGUCCUGCAUUUAUUCCAGUGUGCAGACAUGCAGGGUGUUUUAUAUACAGACCUUUGAGAAUGUGUAAUUAUUGUUGCUUUGAUUCUUUGCUUUCUAUCUUGUAGAGCACUGUGUGACUUCACUUUUGAAAGGAAC